GCUGUUUAUUUUAUUUAUUAUUAAUUUAAUUAAUCAUAUGCAUAUGUUAAAUUUCACAUCUAAAUGUGUUAAAUUUGUUCAUUUAAUUUUUCAAAACAUUUUUUUUUUUUUUCAGUUAAAAUAUGCAAACGUCCUUAAAACAAGACAAAAACCUUGCUGGGCUGCGCUCCCAUCAGGACUGCUGAGCCAGCUCCCCGCGGAGGCGUUUCUGAGUCCUCGCUCGGGUCUGAGAGGAGAAACCGUAGCUAAAGCAAACAAAGUCGCCACCCAGAGCCCCCCCAACACCGCCCGUGACUCACUACACUGACACCACAUCACUGCAGACCACAAGAAUGGGUGGAGAUUAAGAAUCUGAAAUUUUUACAUAUGCUGAAGAAAACGUGUGGCGUUUGCUUGAACAAAACUCUCCGCCAUUAUGCCAGCAUUGUAAUCCAUGUCUGGAGCACAUAUUGAACGUUAAUACUCAGUAUUAGAAGUGUAGUUUAUCAUGUUGAAGUAAACCCAACUAAGAGCACACUAGUAAGACACCACUAAAAAACCUUGUCGUAAGGUUUACAACAUUUCCAUUCUCUCACACUUCAGAAGCAUCACUUUAACAGUGGAAAUGGUUUUAGGGUUUUUCAGACUCAUGAUGGAGAGGCUUUAUGUGCGUAGCCUCUCUGUUACCUCCCACAUCAAAUCUGGUCCUGAUUUCGACCCAGUUGCCCAACGUUUACGUGGGGGGGAGAAACGAGGGCGGUGCGGGUGGUGCUGGGGGGGGUCGUCCAGCAUAAAGGCCUCUUUAUUCACGCUGGACAGGGAAAGGAAAUCGGCUUCAGAAGAAAAAACACGCCAGCGCGCCACAGGCCCGCACAUCUGGAGUUAUUACAAGCCUGCCGUCUUGCCAAGAAACUCCGACAUUCCUGCAGCGCUACAAAGCCGUGCAACUCACUCGCUCCCACACACACAAAAAAGUGCAGCAAGCGAUCCACCCCAACCCCCUCCCCAAAAUGACACAACACAUGCGGCAAAUUAAUGCGCUUCACUUCCUGUUGACCUUUGACCAUCAACUUCCUGCUGCCACCCCAAAAAGCAGGAAAAAAAUAACAGAAAGCCAGACGGAGGCGGGAAGAGGAAGAAAGUCCCGCCUCUUUCUCCUCUCUCUUGCUCCUUCACUCUCUCUCACUAGUAAAGUUAGUUAACAGUCCUCUGCCACGUCAAGCCUGCGAGUCACUGCAUCGCCAUCCGGAACGCUCACGGAAAACGCCGGAUGGAUGUUAGUGGAUGCAGAUUUACAGGUUUAUGAUUUGUUCGGGAACUCGGGAACCAAAAAUGAUGAAGAUGAAGAAGCUGUCCUGUCAAAAGAGCCAUUCGAAGUCUCACUGAGGUCCUGUAGAUUCAAACUGAGAAAUACUGGGAAAAUCAAUUGGGAAAAAUGACACUCGACAAACAGGAGGACAAACACCUUUGCACAGGAUGAAGAGGAGGAUGAGCGUGCAGCAGAGUUUUAGGGAAUUUCUGAGUGAAACAUGAAACCGCAGGGAACGCAUCAUCAUCUCUCCACGGGAAACGGGAAGCUUCCAAUCAGAACGCAUCAUCAUCAUCUGUGUGUCUCACCUCCAUAUUUUGCCUGUUUCAGACUCCAUCAUGGACUGAUCUACGGACGUCACCUAGCGAGCGCUAGACGUUUUGCGUGCUCGUGCGAGCGGAAAUGAGACAGCGCGUUAGUUUUUAGACGCCCGUCCCGCCUGCCCAGUGUUCAGACUACCUGUUCAGGAAGUAGCGUUUGUACAGUAGUCUGCACAUUGGUUAGGCUGGACGGGGAUGCUCAAGACUGACCGUGACGACUGGAGAACUCAUCGCCGUGCGGAACACGCUGCUGAUGUGAACUGACUUCAUCUGUUCAGCAUGCAUUGAUGUCAAUGAUAUAAUCGAUGAAUAAAGUAUAAAAUGAUACAAA